rnacentral:rRNA from 1 species
UGCGUAGGCGGUCCCGCAAGUCCGUUGUGAAAGCCCCGGGCUUAACCUGGGAAUGGCAGUGGAAACUAGGGGACUUGAAUCUGGCAGAGGGGGGUGGAAUGCCACGUGUAGCAGUGAAAUGCGUAGAGAUGUGGCGGAACACCGAUGGCGAAGGCAGCCCCCUGGGCUGAGAUUGACGCUCAGGCACGAAAGCGUGGGGAGCAAACAGGAUUAGAUACCCUGGUAGUCCACGCCCUAAACGAUGAUCACUAGGUGUUGGGGAAGCGAUUUCUCAGUACCGCAGCUAACGCGUGAAGUGAUCCGCCUGGGGAGUACGGUCGCAAGAUUAAA